AAAAGAUAAAAGAAAUAAUAAAAGGAAAGAGGCACACUAUCAGUACAAGAGGUAAAAGAAUUAAAAAACUAAAGAAAAUAAAAGAAAAAACCAAAAUAAAUAAAUAAAGCAAUAAUAAGAAAAUAAAAAAUAAAAAAUAUAUAUAAAAGACAAAAAUAGAUUGAAAAUCGGGGGUGUAACUAGGAAAAUGCCAUAGGCCCAAAGGAGGAGGCCUCAUAGGGGUGCACUGAGCAAU
rnacentral:lncRNA from 1 species